GGCCCUUGUCCAUGGAGGAAUCAAGCCCUUAUUUUUUUCCCGGCGAUUAUACCACAGCAUAGCCAGUCGUCCGACACCCCCAGCCACUCUUGAAGAAGUGGAUGACAGAGAACUGCAGGAGCAACUGCAAAGGGUAAUAACUGCAGAAACUCUGGCAGAAGCACGGGAUGCCAUAAUGGAGGCUUCAGGUUCUCUUUGUCUUCUUGGCUGUUCUGCGGGUCUCCGAAGUCUGGAUGAAAAGGAGUACUUUACACAACAAGCUCUAAGGGCAUAUGUCGAAGGAAGGACACAGAAAGCUUUGGAGCAAUUUGUGGAUGGGAUGAAUGCCAUGGGCCUUGCUGAAAAAAUAAGAAGCCACAUAGAGGAACUGGAACCACUAUUUGUGGGUGGACCCAAAGCCAUUCAGCUCCAG